GUUCGCGUGGAGUAAAGCAGGAAACUCGCUCCCUCCCAGUUCUGUGGGAACAGGAUCCGCAAUGGGGAGGAUUGGUGGUUCGAAUCCACCCGCGAACA